rnacentral:rRNA from 1 species
CCUACGGGAGGCAGCAGUGAGGAAUAUUGGUCAAUGGGCGAGAGCCUGAACCAGCCAAGUCGCGUGAAGGAUGACGGCCCUACGGGUUGUAAACUUCUUUUGUCAGGGAGCAAUUGGGUGCACGCGUGGGCUUAGCGAGAGUAACUGAAGAGAAAGCAUCGGCUAACUCCGUGCGAGCAGCCGCGGUAAUACGGAGGAUGCGAGCGGUAUCCGGAUUUAUUGGGUUUAAAGGGUGCGUAGGCGGAAUAUCAAGUCAGCGGUAAAAAUUCGGGGCUCACACCCGUCGUGCCGUUGAAACUGAUGGUCUUGAGUGGGCGAGAAGUAUGCGGAAUGCGUGGUGUAGCGGUGAAAUGCAUAGAUAUCACGCAGAACUCCGAUUGCGAAGGCAGUAUACCGGCGCCCAACUGACGCUGAAGCACGAAAGCGUGGGUAUCGAACAGGAUUAGAUACCCCGGUAGUC